GGGGCAUUAUUUAUAGAGGAACCUGUUUUAAUCGACAAUCCACGUUAAUUUUNACUUUAAUUAUNAAAUUUAUAUACCGCCAUCUAAAAAAUUAAUUUUAUAAUAAUAUUUAUAAUAAAAAAUAAAAAGUUAGGUCAAGGUGNNNNNNUAUAUUAAAGUAAAUAAUGGGUUACAUUAAAAAUAAUUUAAGGAUUNUUAUACUAAAAUAUUUUAUAANAAAAGGAUUUAAAAGUAAUAAAAUAAUAAUAUUUUAUUAUGAUUNNGAUAAUAAAUGUGACCAUCGCCCGUCGUCUUA
rnacentral:rRNA from 1 species